rnacentral:rRNA from 1 species
CAAUAGCGUAUAUUAAAGUUGUUGCGGUUAAAAAGCUCGUAGUUGGAUUUCUGCUUGGGGCAACCGGUCCGCCCUCUGGGUGAGUAUCUGGCUUGGCCCGGGCAUCUUCUUGGGGAACGUUACUGCACUUGACUGUGUGGUGCGGAGCCCAGGACCUUUACUUUGAGGAAAUUAGAGUGUUUCAAGCAGGCAUUUGCCUUGAAUACAUUAGCAUGGAAUAAUAAGAUAGGACCUCGUCCCUACCUUGUUGGUUCGUAUGGAUGAGGUAAUGAUUAAUAAGGAUAGUCGGGGGCAUUCGUACUUAACUGUCAGAGGUGAAAUUCUUGGAUUUGUUAAAGACGAACUACUGCGAAAGCAUUUGCCAAGGAUGUUUNCAUUG